rnacentral:lncRNA from 1 species
UCACAUAUUUUCAUGACGCUUUCUGAAGUAAGUUACCAAGUUGAAAUCUGUUCUCUCAGCACUACUUUAUCAUGUAUGAUAUUUUUAUUCUUUCUUUCCCAGAACUUAUCUCUUUCCUUGUGUUGGAAAUAAUAUUUUAUAUGGUUACUUGACAGUAUGAGCCAGAGCUAUUUCCUAGUCUGAUUUCUCCUGGGUGUACUCUGCUUUCUGGUGUCUGAUUUGAUGACAAGAAUAUUGUGUCGACGGUCAGCGCCUGGAUUGUAAAUUGGACUUGAAAGCAAUAGCUCUCUAGGCACGCAAUGCAGAUUAUAACCCCAAGGUAAAAUCAUUAUCCUAAUGCAUUCUUCAUGAUGUUGGCUUUUCCCCCUUACUGGGCCUGUGAUGCUAUAUUUCCAAAAACAUCCAAAUUUUAUCACUUUGCUAGCAUCCACAUGUCUUUGUGAAUCCUGCUGUGUAGAUGGUGGAUAGCCUGGUAAAAGAGUAGAGACUUUGUACAUGGGUUCUUUUGUGUAUGUACCCUUCUGAAUUUGUGCUCAUUCGCUGAGAAAUUAGAGAACACCAGCUUACUAAAUAAUUUUUGAUCGAAUGGUGAGUUGAGACUCUCUACCUGACUGCCUUUUAGGCUUUAGCAUGAGGGUAAAGGUUAUUCAAGCAUAUAAACGGUCAACUAAUAAUAUGAAGGGUUAUACCACAGAAAAGUCAUUAUACCUGGAAGCUGACAAUCAAGCAAUAACCUUAGGGAAUCUACAACUAAAGCAUGCAUGACAUCCACCUAAACAAAAUUUAGACAUGUACUCCCUCCGUCCCAUAAUGUAAGACGUUUUUUGACACUAGUGUAGUGUAAAAAAACGUCUUACAUUAUGGGACGAAGGGAGUACAUUGCACACACAUAUUUCAGCAUACAUUGAGCCAAAAAAAUCACACACCGUGGCCUUCUACCCUACUACUUGCUGAACAAAAUUCAUUCGUCGCACACAUUAGCCUGUUGCAGUACUACUUGCUGAAGCUGCUGAGAACGCACAAUCAACAAGAACAACACAAAAUCGUGAAAGAGAGGGUCGAUGACUCGAGGUAAUCAGUUACCAUGUCUAAUUGUGAUCUGGUGGGGAAGAGAAGCUGGAUUGGCAAGGAAGAGAAGCUCCAGCCAGCGACAAGGAAGAGAAGUAAGACCCCAACGGCGGUGCUGAAUCAGAGAAGGAUCCAGCAGUGCAAUGCGGUGGCAGUGGAAGCGGCACGAUCCAGUAGUGCAUGGCGGCGGCGGCACAACAGGAGUAGUGCGCGGCCUCUCCUCCCCGACGGAACCGGCGCCCCACCUGCCUCUCUGAUGGUACCACACACCCGCAACAUCCCUCUUCCCUCCAGUACAUAAUUAGCAAUUGCAUCAACCAGGCAUCAAUUGUUCUAAAUCAUCCAUCAAACCAUAUUCUAGGGACUAAUAGAAAGUUACCUUUUGAGGCAAAAGCUUCAGCUCAAACAUGAUGAAUUUUGGCCUGAAUCUUGGCUAACUCAUCUCCUUUCUUUUGUCCCCCAUAGUCUUCUCUCUCCCUGGCUAUUUCCCCUAGAUGUGUUAGCACAGGAGUAGCAGCUCACCUCUCAAGGCCCCUCUCUCUGCUCCAUCGCAUCUGUGAUCCACUUCUAUAAAUGCGGGCAGACAACAUCACCUAAUCUUGCAUAAUCUAAACCAAGACCGCAUCAAAGAACCAGGUUAGAAUCAAAGGAGGGAGACAGGAGGGAAGUAAAUGCAUAAUCAGUUAUCUGCUUGUAACUCAAGGAAUUAUACCGCAACAUUUCCUCAAGUGCAGGCAAACUCGAAUGAUGGUUAGUAAAUGUUACAUGUUUGCUAACUCUACAUUUUUUCUUACAUAAGUAUGCAUUUGGACUGAUAAUCAUGCCUGAUUUGUAGUGCCGCUUGAUGAAACAUCUGCUUUUAACUCCGGAACUCAUGCUUCAGCAUAUGUUCCAUUGUGGGAUAAUCCUACACUUGGUUAGUAAUAUUUCCUAUUUUCUUAACCUGCAUCCGUGAUGCGUCACUUAACAUGUUUAUUAGUAUGUCAUGUCACUCCUGCUUGACAUGCCAAUUCACAAAAAAUAAAAAAAUCCCAGUGACCUGUGAACCUGCCUGUUAACUUAAAAUUUGAUCAGUUGUGGUGCCUUUAUGGACCAUGACUGGAUACAUAAUAAGUUUGAUAUUUUUUUUUGCUGUGACCACAGGGAGGCAAGCCCAAGAUCACAUGAAGGUGUCAUUUGCAUUGCAACUGAACACUACAUAUCAGUAGUUCAGAUGUUUCCUCUUUGAUCACAUGAAGGUGCCAUUUUGUUUCCUGAAUUUUUCCGAAGGCAUGGUUAGACAUUUGUCAUGUGAGUUUGUGCAAUGGGUACCGAGCUUACACUCACGUGCUUAACCUGACUUCUUCUACAAGAUAGGAACAUGCGUUGGCUGUAUGAACAUGCGUUGUGUAUAAACUGUGUGUAUAAAC